UUUCCGUAGGGAACCUGCGGAAGGAUCAUUACCGAGUGCGGGCCCUCGUGGCCCAACUUCCCACCCUUGUCUCUCUACACCUGUUGCUUUGGCGGGCCCACUGGGGCUCCCUGGUCGCCGGGGGACGCCUGUCCCCGGGCCCGCGCCCGCCGAAGCGCUUCGUGAACCCUGAUGAAGAAGGGCUGUCUGAGUACUAUGAAAAUUGUCAAAACUUUCAACAAUGGAUCUCUUGGUUCCGGCAUCGAUGAAGAACGCAGCGAAAUGCGAUAAGUAAUGUGAAUUGCAGAAUUCCGUGAAUCAUCGAAUCUUUGAACGCACAUUGCGCCCCCUGGCAUUCCGGGGGGCAUGCCUGUCCGAGCGUCAUUUCUGCCCUCAAGCACGGCUUGUGUGUUGGGUGUGGUCCCCCCGGGGACCUGCCCGAAAGGCAGCGGCGACGUCCGUCUGGUCCUCGAGCGUAUGGGGCUCUGUCACUCGCUCGGGAGGGACCUGCGGGGGUUGGUCACCACCACAUUUUCUAUUAUGGUUGACCUCGGAUCAGUAGAUUACCCGU
rnacentral:rRNA from 1 species